rnacentral:lncRNA from 1 species
UUUGACUUGAUCCCGAAAUGGUACGUAGGCAGCCUCUCUGAAGUUCAGUCAUACCAAAAUAAAAAUCCAAAAGUCCCCAAGCAAGAAACUGGGGCAGACGUUUGUGGUUGUUAUGAAAGAUUUGAUUCUGAAAGUUGUAGUUGUUAACCCCAUCUAAAUUGUGUUUGAGCCUUUUAUACCCUUUCUUUCAAACCUUGUCCAAAAGACACAUUACGGUCCAAAGAAAGACCUUCCGAUUAGUCUUUGAGAAAUGUCAGGUCAAGCAGGUGAUGGCAAUUCAUGUCAGGGGCAACACUCUGGUCUAAACAAGGAAAGUGAGAAUGAAAGGGUCUUAGUGACGAAAACCCUCACAAGUAUCGCAAGGCGACGAAAUCUGAGAGGAAAAAAAAAAGAGAGCCUUAUUGGUGAAAACCUUCACGGGCACCUUGAGGCGACGGUAAGAUGAGAGAAAGAAAAAAUUAGAGAGGCUUGAUGGUGAAAACCCUUCGGGCACUACUAGUCAAAUAAGGAAUGAGAAUCAAAUUGGAUAGGCGGAGCAUUGAAGCCUAGUUUCACAGUGAAAAGGUCCAACAAGAGCUGAACGUCAGAAUUGAUUGACAGAAUAUCCACAUGUGCAUGUCAUGGUCGUUAGAGUUGGUAUCCACAUUUGAUAUGUUUCUACUUCGUAAUGUUUUCUUUAGGAAUCAUCUCAUUACUUUGUCUUUCACUUCGUUCUUCUAUUUUAUUCACUUCCUCUUUCUGAGUCUGUUUGAUCGUAACAAGUGAGAAAUGACUUCAAACUUUUCCACCAGCUUUCUAAUUGCACAAAAUGGGGUCACGAUCCAAGCAAAACAACAAGAUAAAGGGCAAUAAAUCUACACGCAUUGGGGGAUCAUGUGAAACACAAAGUUUGGUAGAUGUCGGUUCAGGAGUAAUGCAAUAGAUGGAUGGUAUUGGGUUUGAACGAAGAAUAGAUAUUUUCUGUUGUUGAAACACGUUCUCAAAUCGCUAAAACUAAACGUGUGUUCAUCUUUGUAGGUUUUGAUAAAUGACAAACCGAUGCGCAUGGAACAAUGACAUAUGCCGAAGUCCAAGUACAAGAGAAACAAAGAACAAGAUCAAGUAAAGCAACGAAGAUAUACAUGAGUCGUUUUAUAUUGUGAUCUUGAUCCAACACAAAGUUUGGUAGAUGUCGGUUCAGGAGUAAUGCAACAGAUGAAUGGUAUUUGGUUUGAACGAAGAGUAGAUAUUUUCUGUGACAAGGGUCAAACAAAUGAGCAAUAGACUUCAGGGUCAAGGGGCCAGGGGUUGUGAUUUAAGAAGCAACAACAUACUGUGGGGGAAAUAGAUGCAAUUUGGGAAUUCAUGCAAGACUCAAAGGUCAGGAAAAUGCCAGUUCAUGAGCGAUGUAAGAAACAGAAGAUAUAGGGUUUGAAUGCAAAAAAGAUAUGGGGUCAGAUAAGAAGAUUAGAAGUAAUAAUUGAGAGGUAGUCAUCAAGAAGGGCGGAAGUUAUCCGCCAAGUUUCGAACAUGGUCGGACAAUGCAGAGCAUGGAAAGGAGAAAAAGGAAAGCCAUCUCCGGCAGAAGUACCACAACCAACCACCACACUUUAAACUGACA